AUCUUUGUGCUUGGGGCUUCAGACGUUCUUGUGGCUUUGUUUAUUACGCUUUAGCUUGGCCGAAAUGAGACUAAAUCUCAAAGCACUUUAUACUUCUUUUUCUUUUUUCAUGCAUAGGU
rnacentral:lncRNA from 1 species